CACGUAGGGCGCAAGCGUUGUCCGGAAUUAUUGGGCGUAAAGAGCUCGUAGGCGGUUUGUCGCGUCUGCUGUGAAAACGCGAGGCUCAACCUCGCGCCUGCAGUGGGUACGGGCAGACUGGAGUGCGGUAGGGGAGAUUGGAAUUCCUGGUGUAGCGGUGGAAUGCGCAGAUAUCAGGAGGAACACCGAUGGCGAAGGCAGAUCUCUGGGCCGUAACUGACGCUGAGGAGCGAAAGCGUGGGGAGCGAACAGG
rnacentral:rRNA from 1 species